GAUGAACGCUGGCGGCGUGCCUAAUACAUGCAAGUCGAGCGAACAGACGAGGAGCUUGCUCCUCUGACGUUAGCGGCGGACGGGUGAGUAACACGUGGAUAACCUACCUAUAAGACUGGGAUAACUUCGGGAAACCGGAGCUAAUACCGGAUAAUAUAUUGAACCGCAUGGUUCAAUAGUGAAAGACGGUUUUGCUGUCACUUAUAGAUGGAUCCGCGCCGCAUUAGCUAGUUGAUAAGGUAACGGCUUACCAAGACAACGAUGCGUAGCCGACCUGAGAGGGUGAUCGGCCACACUGGAACUGAGACACGGUCCAGACUCCUACGGGAGGCAGCAGUAGGGAAUCUUCCGCAAUGGGCGAAAGCCUGACGGAGCAACGCCGCGUGAGUGAUGAAGGUCUUCGGAUCGUAAAACUCUGUUAUUAGGGAAGAACAAAUGUGUAAGUAACUAUGCACGUCUUGACGGUACCUAAUCAGAAAGCCACGGCUAACUACGUG
rnacentral:rRNA from 1 species